GAGUGCCAAGAAUUCCCCGACUUGGUUCCAGAGUUGUCGGUUUCAAACUUCGAGACCGUGCACUCUGAAAUGGAUUUGCAACCAUCAACGCCCCAAGAUCAAGCCUCCCUGGGAGCACAGCAGCCAUCUGCAACAGCCACAUCUACACAAGGAACACCUAGAGUUAGGGCCAGGAUCCGGAAGGUGUUGACUCCUCGUUCUUUGAAGAGGCUGCAGCGCUACCGUGAUGAGAAUAACC
rnacentral:lncRNA from 1 species